UACGUAGGAGGCGAGCGUUGUCCGGAAUCACUGGGCGUAAAGCGCGUGUAGGCGGGAAGGCAAGUCUGCUGUGAAAGCGCCUGGCUUAACCGGGCGAGGUCGGCGGAAACUGCUUACCUGGAGGACGGUAGAGGGGGGUGGAAUUCCCGGUGUAGUGGUGAAAUGCGUAGAGAUCGGGAGGAACACCUGUGGCGAAGGCGGCCCCCUGGGACGGUACUGACGCUGAGACGCGAAAGCGUGGGGAGCGAACAGG
rnacentral:rRNA from 1 species